CCUAUUUACACUGCUGGGCAAACCACUCACUACAGCUAAAUUCAUAAUGUAUCUCAGAACACUCUAAGCUAGGUGGGGACUCAACCACAAUGCCUUUUCGGGACAUUCGUUCAGAAUCAGGGCAGCAUCAGCUGCUUCUAGACAAAUGUCCCUGCUCACAUCAUAAACAUUAGGAUGCUGGAAAUCCACAGUGUAUUACUAGAUACAUACCACAACCAGA